rnacentral:rRNA from 1 species
GGGGAAUCUUCCGCAAUGGACGAAAGUCUGACGGAGCAACGCCGCGUGAGUGAUGACGGCCUUCGGGCUGUAAAGCUCUGUUAAUCGGGACGAAUGGUUCUUGUGCGAAUAGUGCGAGGAUUUGACGGUACCGGAAUAGAAAGCCACGGCUAAUUACGUGCCAGCAGCCGCGGUAAUACGUAGGUGGCAAGCGUUGUCCGGAAUUAUUGGGCGUAAAGCGCGCGCAGGCGGCUUCUUAAGUCUGUCUUAAAAGUGCGGGGCUUAACCCCGUGAUGGGAUGGAAAUUGGGAAGCUCAGAGUAUCGGAGAGGAAAGCGGAAUUCCUAGUGUAGCGGUGAAAUGCGUAGAUAUUAGGAAGAACACCAGUGGCGAAGGCGACUUUCUGGACGAAAACUGACGCUGAGGCGCGAAAGCCAGGGGAGCGAACGGGAUUAGAUACCCCGGUAGUCCUGGCCGUAAACGAUGGGUACUAGGUGUAGGAGGUAUCGACCCCUUCUGUGCCGGAGUUAACGCAAUAAGUACCCCGCCUGGGGAGUACGACCGCAAGGUUG